rnacentral:rRNA from 1 species
GGGCCCGCACAAGCGGUGGAGCAUGUGGUUUAAUUCGAUGAUACGCGAGGAACCUUACCAGGACUUAAAUGUAAGUUGCAUGAUUCAGAAAUGAAUCUUUCUUCGGACUACUUACAAGGUGCUGCAUGGUUGUCGUCAGCUCGUGCCGUGAGGUGUCAGGUUAAGUCCUAUAACGAGCGCAACCCCCUAUCGUUAGUUGCCAUCAAGUAAAGUUGGGAACUCUAGCGAAACUGCCGGUGCAAACCGAGAGGAAGGUGGGGAUGACGUCAAAUCAUCACGGCCCUUACGUUCUGGGCUACACACGUGCUACAAUGGUCGGUACAGAAAGCAGCCACUAUGCGAAUAGGAGCGAAUCUUCAAAGCCGAUCAC